CCCGCCACAGACAGACAUUGGCCUGACCAUUCAAUAUCAUUCCAGUCACAGAUCCCUGAUAUGCCUUAGGUAGACAGCCUGCACCCUGACCACCAAGACUUCAAUCCAGCCUUGCACCCUGAACACCAAGUCUCCGUCCACAGCCAAGGUAGUAGACAUCUUGUAGGCUGGCCACCAAGUCUUCACCCACUGCCAAGGUAGUAGACAUCUUGUAGGCUGGCCACCAAGUGUUCACCCACAGCCAAGGUAGUAGACAUCUUGUAGGCUGGCCACCAAGUCUUCACCCACUGCCAAGGUACCUUUAAACAGCGGCAAGAGAAGAAAAACUCUGAACAAAUAGACAAAUGGAUGUUAAUUAUCAAGCUUGGAAAGAUAAGUAUAUGGCUAAACUCUCAUUCCAUACAGUAAAGUCGGAAAAUAUUAAUGGAUGUUUCAUUUGGAACGGGUUUAAGUCAGGAAAGUCAAAUAAGGAGUAUGGAAGGAUGAAUAUAAAAUUACCAGGAGGGUCCAAAUUUAAACAAAUUCUUGUUCACCGGUUAGCUUAUAUGAUUCAUCAUAAUAUGUUUUCUCUGCCAAAAUAUUUGGAGUGUUCACAUUUGUGUGCAAAUUCUUUUUGUAUUAAUGCCGAUCACCUUAAUUUAGAGAGCCACCAUACAAAUGUUAAGCGGAAUGUAUGUCAUGUAAAAAAUGAUCUGUAGUGGCCAUGGAUCAGAACCAAAUUGCACAUUUGUUCAGGGCUGCUGAAUUUGUAUGAGUUUUAAAAGUUAUUUAAUUUACAGUUUUCAUGGUGUAGUGAUUUCUGAGAUAAUGCUUAAAAGUUAACUCACUGCACAGUGUGACAUCUUUUAUCAUAACUUACUUUGAACAUACAUGUAACUGAAGUCAUUUCUUUCUAAACUGUGUGGCUAUGCGUUGAAUGACGAGGUAGAAAAUGGAAACAAACACACAGA